ACUCCAUAUCAUCACAGUCUACAAGUUCUUCUUGAACGGCCAUGAUGGAUUCCAUGGUUUUUAUCAGGUCUUCUCGUCCAGGGAUGUCAGCUAGUCCCAUCAGACUGUUUAGGGAGUUGAAGAAAGUGUUUGAGAGAUGGUUGUGAGAUCUGGCAUGGAUGCUGCUCAGUGCUUCGUUGAUUAAGGAGUUGGUGAUUUGGAUCAGAGACAGAUUCAUAGCUGCGAGUGAGAGCUGCCCCUGUUCUGUUUUUGUGGCAGCUUGCAGCUGGGGGAUUACUUCUGGUCGUUUAAGUGGCUGGAUGUUUUCUGGAAGAUGUCCAGGACAUGCACUGGUUCCCUGAAUGCACGCUCGGGCCAUGUCUCAUCAAUAAUCUUUGACAGCUCUCUGCCAAUGUAAGACAAUUGUUGUUGACUACUGUCAAUUUCUGGAGUUCUGAUUUCUGCCCUCUCCACACAGGCGUUGAUGACUGUGAGCAAGCUGCUUGGACCACGCCAUUAGAUAAUUCAGAACAUUCAAGGCCUCGGUGGGAGUGUAGUCGCUGUCUGAAACCACUCCAAUCUCUAGUACCUGUUGGAGGACAUUCUUGAGCUGAUGGAGAGCCCUGGUCAGGCGAUAUGAUUCUCCAGUAUCAGUGUCUACUAAUGCGGGGAAUGAUGGCACAUGGCCAGGCAGAGUCAGGGAAUUUAAAAGCUGGUCCACGGCAGCCAGGUUGGGGAGGGUGACGCUUGGGAGGGACGUCCCAGACCUGUCUGGCUCGGCCUCCCUGUCGCCCUCGCUCUCGUCCUCCAUAUCAUCGUCCCCAGUAAGAUCGAUGACGUCAUCGUCCAUCGUUAAGUCAAUUAUGUCUGGAGAGGGUAGAGGGUGUGUCAUUUUCUCUGGAGGGGUGCGCCCAGAUUCUUUCCUCUUUUUGUUGGCAUCAGUCCACUCCUCCCCACAGCUCAUAGGAUACCUCUUCCUCUUUGCCUUUGACAUGUAUUUCAAGAGGGAGCCCACUUCUGGGUCAGGCGACGAUGACGCCUGUGGUGACGAACAGAAACUCUGGUUGGUGGUUGGUAGGUCAUAUUCUUCCAAGAUUAUUUUUGAACCAUGUAAAUCAGAAAAGGAGAUGACUUUAUAGUGAGACAUGAUGUAAUUUUUGGGAGAAAUGUGUCCUGGUACAAAAUAUAGGAAGCACGCAGUAUAUUCGCGGGACACGCCCCCGACAUAUUUUAUCAGAGCAUCUGGAUCAGACGUGCUGAGUACGUGGGCUGGACUCUCAGGAAUGUCCUUUAGACAGUGUGGAUCAAACAUGGUGUACCUGCCCCCCUGGAUGAUUAUGGCCCCAGAUUUUUGUCCACAGAUGUACAAAAUAUACUGGAUAGUGUUUGAAUAAUUGGCCGUCAGCAGGUCACGCAGGGACGUGAUGCAGGAGUCAGAAAUGUCAGCUGGCAUGCCAAGCAGGCCAAACAUUUCAGCAGAGGUAUAGAUGAACCCAGACCACUUUCUUGUUUGGACAUAGCAAGGCACGUGGUCCAGCUGGGCAUAUUGGCCAGGAGAUAAGAGGCCCAAUUUUCUCAGAUUGCUGUCUAACUCUGCCCCAAACUUUAAAACUUUAUUAAGGUCGUGGGUCUCGGUUAUGGGGGCUUCAUUGUUGAAGUAGGAAGACAUCAGGUAUAUGAUACAGUUGCUAAGACACUGAGCCCCUGCAUUUUCUCCAAAUUUACAAUCUGCCUGAUUGGUUGAGGCUGUACCUUCGAUGCGAAACCCAGCCAAAGAAGCAGGCAGGGCCAUUAUGAUAGCAGUUUUAUUAUGUCAUGAAUUUUUACAAUAGUGUAGGGGCACUCUGCGUGCUCGGCGGUGUAGGUUUGUUGUGUAAAUAUUUGCCAGUUAACAUCCAGGGGUAUUCUGUCAUAAGUGCUGGAAUAUUUUUUCAGUUGGGGUGGAUGUUUCUCACCACGGGCAGCGUUUUGGCUAAAAAUCUGGGGGUAGGUAGAAUAUAGCAUGGUUAGGUCUUCAUCUGUGGGGUUUCCCCCAGCCUGGGUCAUUGACGUGUCUGUGGGUGGAGCCAUCAGAUUUACUGGAAUUUCUUUAAGAUUUUUGAUAAUUUCCACAUUUCCAGCCGAUGCCGCCUUUAAGAUUGUGGGGGUAAUGAUUUCCUGGGAAAACAGGUCAUGAAACCUUUUUCUUAAGCAACUUGAACAUCCUUUCGAGAGAAGGGAUAGUCCAGAGCUAAUUCUGGAGAGUAUGCCACUGAAGGACUGUUUGAGUUGGUUCCAAGGUUCGGUGUCAAAUUCUAUCCCCAACUCAUGCUGUUUAUAUGCCUCUAGGUCUUGAAGAAGUGAGAGCACCGUGCUGUAUUCCCCCCUGAGUUCACCCUCCAGAUCUGUUAUCUCCAUCAGGAGCUGACUGUGAUCCUUUUCCACCUGGCUAAUCAGACUCUUGAGGGUCUCCAAGUGAACUUCCAGAAUCUGUCCACUGGAGGACAGUAUGAUCCAGGGCAUGGUCCAAGAGAUUCUUCAUGGCAGAAGGUUUAUUGGUCCCGUUGAUGAUGUCGAGCAGCUCAAAGUAGAACAUGCCCAGCGGUCUGCGGAUCUCCUGCAGCUGGGGCGUGUCGGUGAUAGCGAAGCUCAGCAGCCAUCUUAUUUGGAAGAGGGCCCGGUUUCUUGACGUCUUUCUGGAAAAUAUCCCCUGUAUGGUGGGACCAACGAUGUGUCUGAUGAAGUACUUGUAAAACAUUUUAUGGGAGACCAUGGCAGGCUCGUAGGAUAAGUCCCCGACAGGCAUUCUUUUACAGUAGGCCGCGACCCUCUCUUCGGAAACCUGGUGCUCGCAAGAGGGUUCCAUCAGUGGAUUCUGGGUGAUGAGGACAAUGCCCCAAUUCCUGUUUACCCAUGAAAAAAAUAAAGUUCUCAUGAUAUCUGA
rnacentral:lncRNA from 1 species